rnacentral:rRNA from 1 species
GACGAACGCUGGCGGCGUGCUUAACACAUGCGAGUCGAACGGAAAGGCCUGCUUUCCCUUGUGUGUUGCGGGUACUCGAGUGGCGAACGGGUGAGUAACACGUGAGUGGUCCGCCCCCAACUUGGUUAUAAGCCUGGGAAACUGGGUCUAAUUCCCGAUAGGACUGCAGGGUGGUGCCUUUGGUGGAAAACGAUUUUCUAGUGGUUGGGGAUGAGCUCGCGGCCUAUCAGCUUGUUGGUGGGGUAAUGGCCUACCAAGGCGGCGACGGGUAGCCGGCCUGGGAGGGUGGACGGGAAGAUUGGGACUGAGAUACGGCCCAGACGCCUACGGGAGGCAGCAGUGGGGAAUAUUGAACAAGGGGCGGAAGCCUGAUGCAGCGACGCCGCGUGGGGGAUGACGGCCUUCGGGUUGUAAACUCCUUUCGACCGCGAGGAAGCCACCUGGUUGGAAGGGUGGUGACGGUAGUGGUAGAAGAAGCACCGGCUAACUACGUG